rnacentral:rRNA from 1 species
UUCCGGUUGAUCCUGCCGGACCCCACUGCUAUCGAGGUGGGACUAAGCCAUGCUAGUUGAGCGCACAGAACUAUGUCUGUGAGCGGCACACUGCUCAGUAACACGUAGCUAACCUACCCUUAGGACGUGGACAACCCCGAGAAAUUGGGGCUAAUCCGCGAUAGAUGUAUUGUCCUGGAAUGGUAUUACGUCUAAAGGUAUCCCAUACAUGUUUGGUAUAUGCCUAAGGAUGGGGCUGCGGCCGAUCAGGCUGUUGGUGAGGUAAUGGCUCACCAAACCUUUGACCGGUACGGGCCAUGAGAGUGGUAGCCCGGAGAUGGACACUGAGACAAGGGUCCAGGCCCUACGGGGCGCAGCAGGCGCGAAACCUCCUCAAUGCACUUACGUGCGAAGGGGCUACCUCGAGUGCCACCUGAUGAAGGUGGCUUUUCCUAGGUCUAAAAAGCCUUGGGAAUAAGAGGGGGGCAAGACUGGUGUCAGCCGCCGCGGUAACACCAGCCCCUCGAGUGGUGGGGAUGAUUAUUGGGCCUAAAGCGUCCGUAGCUUGCCGUAUAAGUUUCCCGUUAAAUCCAGUGUCUCAAGCGUUGGACCGCGGGAAAUACUGUACGGCUAGAGAGUGGGAGAGGUCAGCGGUAUUCUGGGGGUAGGGGCGAAAUCCUUUGAUCCCCGGAGGACCACCAGUGGCGAAGGCUGCUGUCUAGAACACGUCUGACGGUCAGGGACGAAAGCUGGGGUAGCGAACCGGAUUAGAUACCCGGGUAGUCCCAGCCGUAAACGAUGCAUGCUAGGUGUUGGGUUGGCCACGAGCCACCCCAGUGCCGCAGGGAAGCCGUUAAGCAUGCCGCCUGGGAAGUACGAUCGCAAGGUUGAAACUUAAAGGAAUUGGCGGGGGAGCACCACCAGGCGUGAAGCCUG